GACGAACGCUGGCGGCGUGCCUAAUGCAUGCAAGUUGAGCGCUGAAGGUUGGUACUUGUACCCACUGGAUGAGCAGCGAACGGGUGAGUAACGCGUGGGGAAUCUGCCUUUGAGCGGGGGACAACAUUUGGAAACGAAUGCUAAUACCGCAUAAAAACUUUAAACACAAGUUUUAAGUUUGAAAGAUGCAAUUGCAUCACUCAAAGAUGAUCCCGCGUUGUAUUAGCUAGUUGGUGAGGUAAAGGCUCACCAAGGCGAUGAUACAUAGCCGACCUGAGAGGGUGAUCGGCCACAUUGGGACUGAGACACGGCCCAAACUCCUACGGGAGGCAGCAGUAGGGAAUCUUCGGCAAUGGACGAAAGUCUGACCGAGCAACGCCGCGUGAGUGAAGAAGGUUUUCGGAUCGUAAAACUCUGUUGGUAGAGAAGAACGUUGGUGAGAGUGGAAAGCUCAUCAAGUGACGGUAACUACCCAGAAAGGGACGGCUAACUACGUG
rnacentral:rRNA from 1 species